AGGCGGAAUCACUGGGCUUAAAGCGUGUGUAGGCGGCGGCCUAAGUGCCUUGUGAAAUCCCACGGCUCACCCGUGGAACUGCUCGGUAUACUGGGUCGCUUGAGCCACUUAGGGGCUACCGGAACAAAUGGUGGAGCGGUGAAAUGCGUAGAUAUCAUUUGGAACGCCAAUGGUGAAAACAGGUAGCUGGGAGUGUGCUGACGCUGAGACACGAAAGCCAGGGGAGCAAACGGG
rnacentral:rRNA from 1 species